rnacentral:rRNA from 1 species
GAUGAACGCUAGCGGCAGGCCUAAUACAUGCAAGUCGAACGGUAACAGGGAUAGCAAUAUCCGCUGACGAGUGGCGCACGGGUGCGUAACACGUAUGAAACCUACCCAUAACAUGAGGAU